rnacentral:lncRNA from 1 species
CUCUCUCUCUCCAUCGGUCCCCACCGACCCGGCGUAAGUAGCCUGACGCGGCGCCAUCCACUCCGCCAUUCAGAGUUCUGAACUCUGAACUCCAUUUUAGUUUUUCGCUCCUAACACUGGCUCCGUCCCUAGCCACGCCGCUCGCUACUUUCCUCCACCGCCGAUGUCUCUAUCCCCACCCACCCCGUAGCUUCGGUAGCCUCAUCAGGGACAGAAGGGCACGAGAAAGACGGUGAGGAGAGGAGGCAGAUGAGGCCAGCGACGCUGCCGCCGCCGCUCAAAGUAUCCAGAUCCGAGAUGUCCUCUUCGAUUCCUCCUGCUUUCUCUCGGCCAGCAUCACCUUGUGGCUAUCAGAUCUAGCGACAGUGAGUUCGGAGGUGCCUAAUCCAGCAGCCCACCCUGUAGCCACUGAAGAAGAGGGUGAAGUCCCUCAGGCGGCUAGAGGUAGAGCAAAUAUUGUUUUCUUAUGAAAUUUUUGGGUUUGUUUUCUUAAGCUUCGGUUCUUGUUUUUGGCUUAUGGUGUUAUCCGAUUUGGUCAUAUUGAAGCUAUGAAACUUUACGAGGAUUUUGUUGUAUUAACGGAUACAACUUGGUUUCCUUUUCUCCUAUUCUGAGUUGGUUUUCUUUUCUCCGAUUCUGAGUAUGCAAAGAACAACUGGGAUUCAAGGAGGAUGGCAUGACACGCUCGAUGGAGAAAGACGUACACGACAGAUGAAAACAUAUUAGUGGAUUCAGGGACAAGACAACGGCGUGAUGCGCUCAACGAACAAAGACGUACCACAACAGAUGAAAACAUCGGCAUGACGCGCUCAAUAGACAAAGGCGUACCGCAACAGGCGAAAGCGUAUUAGUACCAUUGGAAAGUUACAAAUGUUUUUAGUAGUUAAGAUAAGAAAUUGAGGUUCGGUUGGCAGACGAACCUCAGAUUUAUGCUCCAACGGACACUUAUUUGUCACCUAUUGAGGCUUAUUUCAACUCCUUCCCUCAUUUUCACUCAAGUUAGUAACAGAAAAGAUA